GUCAGGAUGGCCGAGCGGUCUAAGGCGCUGCGUUCAGGUCGCAGUCUCCCCUGGAGACGUGGGUUCAAAUCCCACUCCUGACA
rfam:Acanthisitta chloris contig9813, whole genome shotgun sequence.